rfam:Felis catus isolate Cinnamon breed Abyssinian chromosome C2, whole genome shotgun sequence.
CCGUGGCCUCGUUCAAGUAAUCCAGGAUAGGCUGUGCAGGUCCCGAUGGGCCUAUUCUUGGUUACUUGCACGCGGACGCGG